rnacentral:tRNA from 1 species
GGAAUAGCUCAGUGGUAGAGCGUGUGCUUGGCGUGCACGAGGUCCUGGGUUCAAUCCCCAGUAAUCUA